UGGGUAAUAUUGGACAAUGGAGGAAACUCUGAUCCAGCACUUCUGUGUGUGUGAAGAAGGUUUUAGGACUGUAAAACACUUUUAGUAGGGAAGAAAAAAAUGACGGUACCUACAGAAGAAGCAACGGCUAAAUACGUGCCAGCAGCCGCGGUAAUACGUAUGUUGCGAGCGUUAUCCGGAAUUAUUGGGCUUAAAGGGCAUCUAGGCGGUAAGACAAGUUGAAGGUGAAAACCUGUGGCUCAACCAAAGGCUUGCCUACAAAACUGUUGAACUAGAGUACUGGAAAGGUGGGUGGAACUACACGAGUAGAGAUGAAAUUCGGAGAUAUGUGUAGGAAUGCCGAUGAUGAAGAUAACGAACUGGACAGAAACUGACGCUGAAGUGCGAAAGCUAGGGGAGCAAACAGG
rnacentral:rRNA from 1 species